rnacentral:rRNA from 1 species
AACGAACGCUGGCGGCAGGCCUAACACAUGCAAGUCGAGCGCCCUUUCGGGGGAGCGGCGGACGGGUGAGUAACGCGUGGGAAUAUGCCCUUCUCUACGGAAUAGCCUCGGGAAACUGAGAGUAAUACCGUAUACGCCCUAUGGGGGAAAGAUUUAUCGGGGAAGGAUUAGCCCGCGUUGGAUUAGGUAGUUGGUGGGGUAAUGGCCUACCAAGCCGACGAUCCAUAGCUGGUUUGAGAGGAUGAUCAGCCACACUGGGACUGAGACACGGCCCAGACUCCUACGGGAGGCAGCAGUGGGGAAUCUUAGACAAUGGGGGCAACCCUGAUCUAGCCAUGCCGCGUGAGUGAUGAAGGCCUUAGGGUUGUAAAGCUCUUUCAGCUGGGAAGAUAAUGACGGUACCAGCAGAAGAAGCCCCGGCUAACUCCAUG